rnacentral:lncRNA from 1 species
UGCAGUCACUGGGGUCUCAUAAGUCAUGAGAGUCAUGCUGCUCUCUCAAACCUACAUAGCUACAAGUAGUGGGUAUGUGCCUUGCACACGCCACUUAACCUCUCCCAGCCUUGGAGGUCUCUUCCGCCUAAAGUAGGAAAUCUUUUCUUGGCACUAAAAGAAAGACACAAUGGCUGGGCACGGUGGCUCAUGCCUGUAAUCCCAGCACUUUGGGAGGCCAAGGCAGGUGGAUCACGAAGUCAGGAGUUCAAGACCAGCGAGACUCUGUCUCAAAGAAAAAAAAAAAAGGAAAAUACUAUUUAUUACCAAGACUAUGAGGACAACACCUUGUGGCCAGGAAAGGUGCAAUCCAUCAUUGUUUUCUAGUUGGUUGUUAAGAUUUCUGUGAUGAAUACAACUCAACAUCAGGAUGCUACUGUUGACUUUGAGAAUGAAUGAACCUGUUUUAACAUGACAAGAACUCACGG